GGUAUGUGAAAACAAUAUAUAGUUAAAAGUUUAAUGAGGGAUUAAGAGAGUUUAACGUUUCUCAUUAUUUUUUUGCUUUCAUCUUACUUUACUAAAGAGCUGAUCUUGGUUAUGAGAGAGGUACUUGGAAUUUUGUGCGGUAUGUGGCUGCAGCUUAAGGAGAAAUAAAGAUGAUUAUUUGCCCUUGCAUUGACUGUUGCAACGUGGUACCGGUAAUGGAGUGAAGUCAAUUGCUUAUUCUGAAUUGAUGGAUGAAGUAUGUUUAUUGCUUUUAAGUUUAGCCGGCUAUGUUUGAGAACUUGAUCUGUUUAAGACAUGACUUUGUGUUUUGUUUAUGACUUGGUUUGAUGGUUACAUGUUCUCUUUUAGAGUUCAUGAUUUUAAUCAGUUCACUUUGUAUGCUUUGGAUUUUUAAUGGAAAAGCAUUGAUAUUUUAUGAAUUUUUGUUUCUUGUCAAAGUAUCACAA